UACAGGGGGGGCAAGCGUUGUUCGGAAUUACUGGGCGUAAAGGGUCUGUAGGUGGCCAACUAAGUCAUCCGUGAAAUCCCUCAGCUUAACUGGGGAACUGCGUGUGAUACUGGUCGGCUUGAGUGCAGGAGAGGAACGCGGAAUUCCAGGUGUAGCGGUGAAAUGCGUAGAUAUCAGGAGGAACACCAAUGGCGAAGGCAGCUCGCUGGGACGGUACUGACGCUGAGGCGCGAAAGCGUGGGGAGCAAACAGG
rnacentral:rRNA from 1 species